AGAGAGGUAACAUAAUUAAUUGUAUUUUGUUUACACCAAAAAAGUGGUCUUAGCCCCUUUCUU
rnacentral:tRNA from 2 species